CAGUCGCCGCGGGAAUACGUAGGGUCCGAGCGUUGUCCGGAAUUAUUGGGCGUAAAGGGCUCGUAGGCGGUUUGUUGCGUCGGGAGUGAAAACCGGGUGCUUAACACCUGGCUUGCUUUCGAUACGGGCAGACUUGAGGCAUGCAGGGGAGAACGGAAUUCCUGGUGUAGCGGUGAAAUGCGCAGAUAUCAGGAGGAACACCGGUGGCGAAGGCGGUUCUCUGGGCAUGUUCUGACGCUGAGGAGCGAAAGUGUGGGGAGCGAACAGGAUUAGAUACCCCAGUAGUCCCUGUCUCUUAUAC
rnacentral:rRNA from 1 species